GCGAGUGUAGUUCAACGGUAGAACAAUGUUCAUCUAGGAGCCCCCCCCGCUCUAAAAAAAACAUCACGCAGGUUCGACUCCUGCCGCUCGCA
rnacentral:tRNA from 1 species